CAUACAGAUUUCUCAGGAGGCAGGUAAAGUAGUCUGGUAUUCUCAUCUCUUGAAGAAUUUUCCACAGUUGGUUGUGAUCCACACAGUCAUAUGCUUUAAUGUAGUGAAUGAAGAAGUAGAUGUAUUUCUAGAAUUCCCUUGCCUUUUCUAUGAUCCAACAAAUGUUGUCAAUUUAAACUCUGGUUCCUCUGCCUUUUCUAAAUCCAGCUUGUACAUCUGGAAUUUCUCAGUUCACAUACUGUUUAAGCCUAGUGUGAAGGAUUUUGAGAUUUAUCUUGCUAGCAUAUAAAAUGAGCACAAUUGUUUGGUAGUUUGAACAU